ACGCGUUGGCCCAAUUGAUUGAUGGUGCUUGCACCUGAUUGAUUUUGGUCGCCAACGAGUGGCGGACGGGUGAGUAACACGUAGGUAACCUGCCCAGAAGCGGGGGACAACAUUUGGAAACAGAUGCUAAUACCGCAUAACAGCGUUGUUCGCAUGAACAACGCUUAAAAGAUGGCUUCUCGCUAUCACUUCUGGAUGGACCUGCGGUGCAUUAGCUUGUUGGUGGGGUAACGGCCUACCAAGGCGAUGAUGCAUAGCCGAGUUGAGAGACUGAUCGGCCACAAUGGGACUGAGACACGGCCCAUACUCCUACGGGAGGCAGCAGUAGGGAAUCUUCCACAAUGGGCGCAAGCCUGAUGGAGCAACACCGCGUGAGUGAAGAAGGGUUUCGGCUCGUAAAGCUCUGUUGUUAAAGAAGAACACGUAUGAGAGUAACUGUUCAUACGUUGACGGUAUUUAACCAGAAAGUCACGGCUAACUACGUGCCAGCAGCCGCGGUAAUACGUAGGUGGCAAGCGUUAUCCGGAUUUAUUGGGCGUAAAGAGAGUGCAGGCGGUUUUCUAAGUCUGAUGUGAAAGCCUUCGGCUUAACCGGAGAAGUGCAUCGGAAACUGGAUAACUUGAGUGCAGAAGAGGGUAGUGGAACUCCAUGUGUAGCGGUGGAAUGCGUAGAUAUAUGGAAGAACACCAGUGGCGAAGGCGGCUACCUGGUCUGCAACUGACGCUGAGACUCGAAAGCAUGGGUAGCGAACAGGAUUAGAUACCCUGGUAGUCCAUGCCGUAAACGAUGAGUGCUAGGUGUUGGAGGGUUUCCGCCCUUCAGUGCCGGAGCUAACGCAUUAAGCACUCCGCCUGGGGAGUACGACCGCAAGGUUGAAACUCAAAGGAAUUGACGGGGGCCCGCACAAGCGGUGGAGCAUGUGGUUUAAUUCGAAGCUACGCGAAGAACCUUACCAGGUCUUGACAUCUUGCGCCAACCCUAGAGAUAGGGCGUUUCCUUCGGGAACGCAAUGACAGGUGGUGCAUGGUCGUCGUCAGCUCGUGUCGUGAGAUGUUGGGUUAAGUCCCGCAACGAGCGCAACCCUUGUUACUAGUUGCCAGCAUUAAGUUGGGCACUCUAGUGAGACUGCCGGUGACAAACCGGAGGAAGGUGGGGACGACGUCAGAUCAUCAUGCCCCUUAUGACCUGGGCUACACACGUGCUACAAUGGACGGUACAACGAGUCGCGAACUCGCGAGGGCAAGCAAAUCUCUUAAAACCGUUCUCAGUUCGGACUGCAGGCUGCAACUCGCCUGCACGAAGUCGGAAUCGCUAGUAAUCGCGGAUCAGCAUGCCGCGGUGAAUACGUUCCCGGGCCUUGUACACACCGCCCGUCACACCAUGAGAGUUUGUAACACCCAAAGUCGGUGGGGUAACCUUUUAGGAGCCAGCC
rnacentral:rRNA from 1 species